UGGGGAAUUUUGGACAAUGGGGGCAACCCUGAUCCAGCCAUGCCGCGUGUGUGAAGAAGGCCUUCGGGUUGUAAAGCACUUUCGGACGGAACGAAAUCGCGCGAUCUAAUAAGCCGCGUGGAUGACGGUACCGUAAGAAGAAGCACCGGCUAACUACGUGCCAGCAGCCGCGGUAAUACGGAGGGUGCGAGCGUUAAUCGGAAUUACUGGGCGUAAAGUGUGCGCAGGCGGCGUCGCAAGUCGAGUGUGAAAGCCCCGGGCUUAACUUGGGAAUUGCGCUCGAAACUACGGUGCUGGAGUAUGGCAGAGGAAGGUGGAAUUCCACGUGUAGCGGUGAAAUGCGUAGAGAUGUGGAGGAACACCGAUGGCGAAGGCAGCCUUCUGGGCCAAUACUGACGCUCAUGCACGAAAGCGUGGGGAGCAAA
rnacentral:rRNA from 1 species